UACGAGUGCCCCGAGCGUUAUCCGGAAUCAUUGGGCGUAAAGGGUGUGUAGGUGGCAGUGUUAGUCGAUUGUUAAAACCUGGGGCUCAACCCCAGAUGUGCGAUCGAAACGGCACAGCUAGAGGAUGCGAGGGAUGUAUGGAACUCAUGGAGUAGGGGUGAAAUCCGUUGAUAUCAUGGGGAACACCAAAAGCGAAGGCAGUACAUUGGCGCACUCCUGACACUGAAACACGAAAGCGUGGGUAGCGAAUGGG
rnacentral:rRNA from 1 species